rnacentral:rRNA from 1 species
UACCAGCACCCCGAGUGGUCGGGACGAUUAUUGGGCCUAAAGCAUCCGUAGCCGGUUUUACAAGUCCUCCGUUAAAAUCCAGCUGCUUAACAGAUGGGCUGCGGAGGAUACUAUAAGACUAGGAGGCAGGAGAGGCAAGCGGUACUCAGUGGGUAGGGGUAAAAUCCGUUGAUCCAUUGAAGACCACCAGUGGCGAAGGCGGCUUGCCAGAAUGCGCUCGACGGUGAGGGAUGAAAGCUGGGGGAGCAAACCGG